UACGUAGGGGGCAAGCGUUGUCCGGAUUUAUUGGGCGUAAAGAGCGUGUAGGCGGCCAGACAGGUCCGUUGUGAAAACUCGAGGCUCAACCUCGAGACGUCGACGGAAACCGUCUGGCUAGAGUCCGGAAGAGGAGUGUGGAAUUCCUGGUGUAGCGGUGAAAUGCGCAGAUAUCAGGAAGAACACCUAUGGCGAAGGCAGCACUCUGGGACGGUACUGACGCUGAGGAGCGAAAGCGUGGGGAGCGAACAGG
rnacentral:rRNA from 1 species